rnacentral:rRNA from 1 species
CAGCCGCCGCGGUAAUACGGAGGGUGCAAGCGUUAAUCGGAAUUACUGGGCGUAAAGCGCACGCAGGCGGUCUGACAAGUCAGAUGUGAAAUCCCCGGGCUUAACCUGGGAACUGCAUUUGAAACUGUCAGGCUGGAGUCUUGUAGAGGGGGGUAGAAUUCCAGGUGUAGCGGUGAAAUGCGUAGAGAUCUGGAGGAAUACCGGUGGCGAAGGCGGCCCCCUGGACAAAGACUGACGCUCAGGUGCGAAAGCGUGGGGAGCAAACAGGAUUAGAUACCCCUGUAGUCCCUGUCUCUUAUAC